GUUAGGGUUAGGGCUUUACUCGUAAUCAACUAACCAAGUUUUAUCCUUUAGGGCUUUCUUUAGACUACCGUUGAAGAAGAAUAGGAAAAAUUGGCCGAUGAUUUUACUUCUACUUUCCUAAUCUAGGAAUGUCAGUAAAGAUGGGUGUUCG